CACGGACGCUUCUGUGUAUGCGCACAAGCGCUGCGCACAAGCGAAGUGAGCACGCGCACAUCUGCGCUCAGAGUUCCAAACCAGUAGCAAAGUGAAAGCUUAUACAUCUUAGCAAUAACAUGCUUAUUAUUGGUAUACAGAAUCAAUUCAAAGACAGUACAUGUAAAUCUCAGUGUCAACCACAAGCAGAAUGCUCCAAAUGUCUUCUUCUGGACACCAUCAUUUAAGGAGGAUGAAGAUUUAUCCAUGGUUGGCCUAUCCGGGGUUGAAAAGCUCAAUAAAUCUCAUGCCGGUGGGUGUCACACAUUGGUGGUUGUGACGCAUAUUUUGAGUGACAGGAAGCUGCAGCAGAAGGGUGAAAGAGCCACAUGCGGCUACAGAGCCGCAGGUUGCUGAUCCCUGGACUAAGCCUAAAAUGGAAUCCCUCAACUCCCAGCUGCUCAUCACAAAAACAUUGGUUCCUGCUGUCUGUUCACAAAAUGCCACUGUCCAGAAUAUGUUUGAGUGAGCUCAUGGUUUCUCAUUUUGUUGACUCAGAUCUUGCAUCCAGCCACAAUUUCACCCAUAAUAUCUCGGCUUCUCUGUAGAUGUCUUCAGUUCGCCAUGUCCUCAUUGGAAGUCCUAAACCUAGAAGAAGACUUUUAGACAAGUUCAUACAUCUAAAUAUAAAAUAUCAGGGCUGGAGACAAGAAUGGGAUGGUGAAAAACAAUCUCCAAAGAAGACAGUGGCCACUGCUUUAAAAUCAACUUUUAGUAUUUCUAACGAGGAAACAUCAUGUAAAUGAGGUCAACAAAAGCUUAACUUGAUUUGAAAGAAACUUCAUCAGACUAAGCUAUAAUGUGCGGUAUUAGUUUGGUUAUUGUUUAAAAUCAAUCAUUAAGUUUUAUAAUAUUUUGCAACAUAUUAUGUAAACCUAGUCAAGUAUAAUAUGUAUGAUAUGGUCUUCCUACCAUUUCCUCUAUUUUUUUUCUUUUUUCAGAAAAUUUGCUAAGGAAAAAAUGCUUUAAAAAAGUAGUUGCCAAUGUCUUUUUAUUAGCAGGACAUGACUCAUUUGUCUGAAAUUAGCCUUAGAAGGCGGGAACUUUCCAGAGAGAACAAUUUCAAACAAAGGUUUUCCACUUAUAGCCUUUCAAAAUACAAAUUGCAGACACAAAGGUUGAACCUUAGUUGAAGAUAAUAUAAGCAAACCCAUAUUUCAUCAGUAUAUCAAACUAUUGAUCUUGGAAAGAACAUUAGAUGGAAUAAGUGCUUCUAGUCCCUUCACCUGACAAAUGGAAUUAAUUUAUAUCAGUUUAAAAUCAGAUGCAUGCUUAGGCAUGAAAGCAGAAUGUACCACAUUUGGAAUAUGUGGUGAUGAUGAAUGUAUUUACUAUGUAGGGUGCUUUAGGGUAGUCAUAUCUUUCUACAGAUCAAGAAUAUAGAACAGAAGGUGGGGUAAUAUAAUCCAUAAAAUGCACUUAAUCAAUUCUGCAUUUUUUUUAAGUGUGAGAAGCAUAACAUCCCUGGGUCCUGAAUUUCGGUUAACUUAUCUUCCUAUGUAUUACUGCAGAUGAUAAUAAAAAUUAAAACUCUAAACAAAGUGUUUGGUUAUUUUCUUCAGACAACUAUUUUUGCUUGCCAUGCAACAAAUAAUUCUUAUUUGUAUUCAAUUUACUAAUCCUCAUUAGAGCUCCCACAUCUGGGUUGCAAAAGUCCAGACUACUGAUUUUCUGUAUCUGUUUGCCUCCAUCUAA